AACGAACGCUGGCGGCAGGCCUAACACAUGCAAGUCGAGCGAGGACUUCGGUUCUAGCGGCGGACGGGUGAGUAACGCGUGGGAAUGUGCCCUUCUCUACGGAAUAGCCCAGGGAAACUGGGAGUAAUACCGUAUACGCCCUAUUGGGGAAAGAUUUAUCGGAGAAGGAUCAGCCCGCGUUGGAUUAGGUAGUUGGUGGGGUAAUGGCCUACCAAGCCGACGAUCCAUAGCUGGUUUGAGAGGAUGAUCAGCCACACUGGGACUGAGACACGGCCCAGACUCCUACGGGAGGCAGCAGUGGGGAAUCUUAGACAAUGGGGGCAACCCUGAUCUAGCCAUGCCGCGUGAGUGAUGAAGGCCUUAGGGUUGUAAAGCUCUUUCAGCUGGGAAGAUAAUGACGGUACCAGCAGAAGAAGCCCCGGCUAACUCCGUG
rnacentral:rRNA from 1 species